CAAAAUACAAAAUUUGUAGAGCUUUUGCCUGCUAUCUCUUACCCAUGUCUUUUGAGUACCUUACGUUUCCUCGGUGGGUUCGCCCACCGAUUGGACAAAUUUAAACCCUUUGCAGUUGAAAUCAGCGUCUGAAAAAACUUAAUAGUUACAACUUUCAACAACGGAUCUCUUGGUUCUGGCAUCGAUGAAGAACGCAGCGAAAUGCGAUAAGUAGUGUGAAUUGCAGAAUUCGGUGAAUCAUCGAAUCUUUGAACGCACAUUGCGCCCCUUGGUAUUCCAUGGGGCAUGCCUGUUCGAGCGUCAUUUGUACCUUCAAGCUCUGCUUGGGGUUGGGUGUUUGUCUCCUGUAGACUCGCCUUAAAACAAUUGGCAGCCGGCGUAUUGAUUUCGGAGCGCAGUACAUCUCGCGCUUUGCACUCAUAACGACGACAUCCAAAAAAUUUUUUUAACACUCUUGACCUCGGAUCAGGAAGGGAUACCCGCUGAACUUAGGCAUAUCAAUAAGCGGAGAGAUCAUUACUACAGUUGAAGGCUUUACUGCUAUCUCUUACCCAUGUCUUUUGAGUACUUACGUUUCCUCGGUGGGUUCCCCACCGAUUGGACAAAUUUAAACCCUUUGCAGUUGAAAUCAGCGUCUGAAAAAACUUAAUAAUUCACUUUCACAACGGAUCUCUUGGUUCUGGCAUCGAUGAAGAACGCAGCGAAAUGCGAUAAGUAGUGUGAAAUUCAGAAAUUCGUGAAAUC
rnacentral:rRNA from 1 species